CACAGCACCAAAACUUAUCAAUCCCACAAGAACCUUCAACCUCCUAGAAAACUACCGAGCUACUCUAUAACUUUAGAAGAACUGAUGCUAAAACUAGUAACAAGAAACCUUCUCUUGGCACACCCUUGUCCCAGAAAUAGAAAGCCUGCUGGAUAUUAACAGACCAAAACAGGCACAACACCCCAACUGUGCUACCAACUGUCAAACCGACACCGGAGUGCCAUUAAGACAGAUUAAAAGUUGUAUAAGGAACUCAGCAAAACUUGUCCCAACUGUUUACCAAAAACAUAGCCUUUAGCCAAAAAAGUAUUAAAGGUCCCGCCUGCCCAGUGAAAUUUUUUAACGGCCGCGGUAUUCUAACCGUGCAAAGGUAGCGUAAUCACU
rnacentral:rRNA from 1 species